rnacentral:rRNA from 1 species
UGAGUAAUACAUCGGAACGUGUCUUCUAGUGGGGGAUAACCGCCCGAAAGGGCAGCUAAUACCGCAUGAGACCUGAGGGUGAAAGCGGGGGAUCGCAAGACCUCGCGCUGGAAGAGCGGCCGAUGUCCGAUUAGCUAGUUGGUGAGGUAAAGGCUCACCAAGGCGACGAUCGGUAGCUGGUCUGAGAGGACGACCAGCCACACUGGGACUGAGACACGGCCCAG